rnacentral:rRNA from 1 species
UGAUACGUAGGCACCAAGCGUUGUCCGGAUUUAUUGGGCGUAAAGAGCUCGUAGGCGGUUCGGUAAGUCGGGUGUGAAAACUCUGGGCUCAACCCAGAGAGGCCACCCGAUACUGCCGUGACUGGAGUGCGGUAGGGGAGUGGGGAAUUCCUGGUGUAGCGGUGAAAUGCGCAGAUAUCAGGAGGAACA